CUCUGGGAUGUGCUUUAUUAUCACAUCGCACCAUAGAUGAUAACUACACCAAACUUCCCACAGAACAAGGAUACCUAUUGGAAAAGUUUCAUAGAGUCAAUCAUAGAUUUAAUGUAAAUGUCACGGUUGUCGUAUGGAUUGGACCAAAACGCAGCGGGAAUAUGUAUACUCAUCUUCUUUUUAUUUUGAAGAAGGAGAAACAACUAAAUACGUAUACAAAAAAAGAACAAACCGAAACAGUCCUGUCAUGUGCAACAAACACUAAACAAGGAACAACUACCUACAAAUCCCAUAGAAAAACACCCCUCUUAAAUAGGACCUUCAAGUAGAAGCAACGAGGAGCAGCUGCUUCCAAUUGAAGGUCCACCCAAUAAACAUCACAUAGAAAUAGACAUACUAGAACUAACAUAGAAAUAGACUAACAAAGAACAUAGCCCAACAAACCCCGAAACACUCUAAACAAACACCCCUCUUAAAUAUGAACAUAGGCCAACAAACCCCGAAACACUCUAAACAAACACCCCCUGCCACGUCCUGACCAAACUACAGUAACAAAUAACCCCUUAUACUGGUCAGGAAGUGACCGUAAAAUCAGUCACAACAACCUAUUUUCAAGUUGGCCGCCAUUCAUUUGAAUGUGGAGGAACUGAAUAGAUUUUUCGGGGCAUAAAUUAAUAACCUCUUAAGGAUUGGACCCUUUUUUUCAAAUUUUUGUCUAAAAUGACAUACCCAAAUCUAACUGCCUGUAGCUCAGGACCUGAAGCAAGGAUAUGCAUAUUCUUGAUAUCAUUUGAAAGGAAACACUUUGAAGGUUGUGGAAAUGUGAAAUUAAUGUAGGAGAAUAUAACACAUUAGAUCUGGAAAAGAUAAUACAAAGAAAAAACAUUCAUUUUUUAAAUUGUUGUUCCAUCUUUGAAAUGCAAGAGAAAGGCCAUUAUAUCACUUAGGAGUCAAGGCACAAUAUAGAUUUUGGCCACUAGAUUGCAGCAGUGUAUGUGCAAAGUUUUAGAUUGAUUCAAUGAGCCAUUGCAUUUCUGUUCAAAAUGUUGUGUCAAGACUGCCCAAAUGUGCCUAAUUGGUUUAUUAACACAUUGGUAGAAAUAUGACAAAACGCUGAAAAUGAGGUCAGGUUAAAGAUGGGCUCAGGAGAUCUUAUUCGUUUCCUUCUAUGAGAUAAUAUCAGUCAUUUAACAUGACCUUUAUCAAUUAUGAAGCCUUUAUGUGCUUUAUGUGCAUAAAUGCUUAAAAAAAAAUCACAAAAUGUAACGUUAGCUGAUGAAGAUUAUCUCAUAGAACAAAACGUAUAACCUUUUCUAAGCCUGUAUUUACCAAAUAACACAUUUUCGGCAAUAAUUUUAAAAAAGAAUACAAAAACGCCAUUUAUUACCCUAUAGGCUGUCGAACGAACCAUGGCGGAGUUAGUGCCUACUGCCCUGGGAUUGGCUCCGGCAUCCUGGGUCAGCCCCAGCUCUCUCUGGGUGAAUUUAGUAGCACCCCCUGGUGGCCACGGGCAGGGGAUGGGCCCUCUACCGGUGCAGGGAGCUGGCUGGAUGUAGUGGCACCCCCUUUUGGCCGUGGGUGGGUUUGGCACCCCUCUCCGGGAGUUGGCCCCCCUUUCCCUGGGUUGGCCCCAUCCCUCUCUGGUCCUCUGUAGGGAGCUAGGUGGAUGUAGUGGGUCCCCCUGGUGGCUUUGGGCGGGGGUCGCCCCCUCUCCCUGGGUCUGCCUCAGAUUUCUGGCCCUCUCCCCCCAUAUCCCUGGUGCAGGGAGCUGGCUGGAUGUACUGGUGCCCCCUGGUGGCCGUGGGUGGAGGUAUGCACCCCUCUCUGUGGGUCGGGCCCCCCUCCCUGGAUCAGCCUCAGCCCUCUCCGGCCCUUCCCCCCAUAUCUCUGGGGAAGGGAGCUGGCUGCAUUGGCCCCCGUGCCUGGGGGUCGGUCCACCCAGUCUCUGGAGUGAGACUCUAGACAGAGUCUCUGAGUUAGAGCAUCAACAUCACCUGUAAAUGUACACUGAACAGGUGUAAUGAUCACGUGUAAUGCAUACAGAACAGGUGUAAUGAACGCGUGUAAUGCACACAGAACAGGUGUAAUGAACGUGUGUAAUGCACACAGAACAGGUGUAAUGAACGUGUGUAAUGCACACUGAACAGGUGUAAUGAACGUGUGUAAUGCACACUGAACGGGUGUAAUGAACGUGUGUAAUGCACACAGAACAGGUGUAAUGAACGUGUGUAAUGCACACUGAACAGGUGUAAUGAACGUGUGUAAUGCACACUGAACGGGUGUAAUGAACGUGUGUAAUGCACACAGAACAGGUGUAAUGAACGUGUGUUAUGCACACAGAAAAAGUGUAAUGAACGUGUGUAAUGCACACUGAACGGGUGUAAUGAACGCGUGUAAUGCACACAGAACAGGUGUAAUGAACGUGUGUAAUGCACACAGAAAAGGUGUAAUGAACGCGUGUAAUGCACACUGAACGGGUGUAAUGAACGUGUGUUAUGCACACAGAACAGGUGUAAUGAUCACAUGUAAAAAUGACCAUAACAAACGUUCUAAUCACCUGUAAACACACUGGACAGGUGAAAAAAUCACGUGUACAAAAAAUAACAUUUGACACUUGAAAAAAGCAAGUGAAAAAUGAUCAUAACAAGUGUUCAAAUCACCUGUAAACACACACUAGACAGGCGAAACAAUCACAUGUAC
rnacentral:lncRNA from 1 species